GCUAUUUGUCUUUGUUUUCAAAGGGAUAGCCUAUGACCCUUUAAGAACUCAUCUAGAGCGAAGAGCAGCUGAGCAGUUGGAUAUAUUCAAGGAAAUGGUAUCUUUGCGUGUAUUUGAGAGGUACAUGAUAAGUGUAAUGGUUUCACGUUGUCUGCAGAUUUUGUUUGGAUAUUCACUAGAUGAGUAAUUUCACCAUGGUUUAAUUCUAACAGUUGCUCUUAUUACAUCCAAGACUGCCAAGUUCUACUGUAAUAUUGUCUUGUGUCCUAUCAAAGCAAA